rnacentral:rRNA from 1 species
UACGUAGGGGGGCAAGCGUUGUCCGGAUUUAUUGGGCGUAAAGAGCUCGUAGGCGGCUUGUCACGUCGGGUGUGAAAGCCCGGGGCUUAACCCCGGGUCUGCAUUCGAUACGGGCAGGCUAGAGUGUGGUAGGGGAGAUCGGAAUCCUGGUGUAGCGGUGAAAUGCGCAGAUAUCAGGAGGAACACCGGUGGCGAAGGCGGAUCUCUGGGCCAUUACUGACGCUGAGGAGCGAAAGCGUGGGGAGCGAACAGG